AUAACCAUGACUUCAUGGUAUAAUAUAUAAGCCCAUAUAUUAGAACUUGACCUAUUACUGUAUGUGAGAGGAGAGAGCUUGGUGGUGAACCAAUAGAGAGGUCACCACGGCAAAGAGAAAAGCAGAAAGAAAAGUGAAGGAUUAAAGAGAAAAGAGAGAAAAACAGAAAGAAAAGUGGAAGGAUGAAAAAGAAAAGAGAAAGAAAAUUGGAGAAAUCUAAACUAAAUAUCAGGGCAAUAUAUCUUGGGGAGACAAGCUACAUUAGCAUCUACAAUACUGUAGUUCCAAUUUUGAAGUCACGGACGUUAUAAUUAAGGUUAAAUCACGUGAAUCAGACCACAAGAGGUUGAGGACUAGAGAACAGGAUCAAGAUUAUGUAUAACAAUCGAGAUGUCCGUAAUAGUGACUACAAGGGGUGAAUUGCGAGAAAUAAUAGAGGAAGGGACACAAAUAGGGAUCAUGGCCAUCCUAGGGACCAUGCUUAUGAUAGGUUACAGUUUGUCAUUUCCUUGAAGCACAAGCGGACAAGUAGUUUUGACAUGGCACCAGCUGUUGCUUCCAUGAUGACUCGCGGUGCAGCUUCAGGACAACUAGGUGGUCCAAAAACAAUGCCAGGAAAUUUCCAAAAUAUGUUACCUUUUGAGACAACACAAGUAUUGGUUUACAAAGGAACUAGUUAAUGCCUUAUUCUGCUGGUUUUCCUUUUCAUUGUUUGCAUCCAAAUCAGUUGGGAGCUCUUCCAGACUUCCACUGAUGCCAGCCCAAGCCAUGACUCAGCAGGUUACAAGGUAUGCAUGUUGUGUAUAUGUUGGUGGUCUUCCUCCCCUGGCUAAUGAGCGAGUUGUAAAAUGGGAUUUUUUUCCUUGUUAGGAACACUAUGGUUAUUAUUUUUAUUUUUUUUUUUGUUUUUUCAGUGUCAAUAGAUUUCUCUUCCCAAAUAUGCUGUGUUUAAUUGACAUGGAUUGACAUUCCCAUAUUUAGAUGUUUCUUGGUGGUAUCAAUUCGUAGUUCUAACUUUUUUAUCUUCAGCGGUGUUAUGACUGCAAUUGGAGGAAAUUCUGCUUGUCCGGGUGAUGCGGUUGUAAAUGUGUACAUUAACCAUGAUAAGAAGUUUGCAUUUGAAGAUGAGAACAGUUGAAGAAGCAAGUAAUGCAAGUUCUCUAGAUGGGUUUGCGUUUGAG